ensembl:lncRNA
GAUUAUUCUAUCCAGCUCCUGUCUCCCGCUGUCCUGCGACCCGAGCCGAAACUGGAAAUGAAAUAUGGUGAUAAUAAUUCCUGCCACCAUUUCCCGGGUCAGCGCGUUGCGGCUGCUCAUUUCUAGCCCAAUUUCAGAGCACGUGUUGGGGAAACGGAGGUGUCGACCUGCCAGGCGACCCGCAGAGCACAGCCCUUUCAGAGUUAAGCUUCUCUGAGCGCGCUCCCCCUCCAUUCCUGUUGGGAGACUAAUGCUAGAGUGACAGUGGGUGAGAUGAAUAGAGAUAAUGUGAAGGGGAUCUGCUUCAGAAGACCUGGCUAUCUGAUGGAAGGGAGGGGGGUAGAAGAUGGGGAUGGGGGGUGGGGGGGUGGAGUGGGUGGUAGGUACGUGACUCCUGCCACACAUCACUCUUAAUGUAGGGGUUGCAGGACAUUCUUAAGCGUGGGGAGAAAGAGAGUUUGAUUAUCUAUCUGUUUGGAACUUUCUCCAUUUUUCAAGCAUCUACCAAAAGGCUUUCUCGGAAGCCUCCAGUCCUUGGAGGCUGUACACCACUGGUUUUUAACACUCUUUAAUAACAUACAUAAUAACUGCAUUAUAGACACUUGUAGUGAAAGCCAAAGCUUACUACUCUCUCUCUCUCCAUUAUUCCUCCUCUCACAUUCCUUCCUUUUUCAUCUCUCCUCACUUCCUCACCCCUAUUUCUUCCUUCCUGUCUGAACCGUUUGGCCCCCUUCCUCCAUUGCCGCCACCUUCACAGAGCAUUAAUCAGUUCUUGGAAUCAGUCGGGCUGGAAAUGGCAUCGGAGACGUUUCCCCUCGUGCCGGGGAGCCAUCCAGUCUUAAAAGGGCCAGCAAUGUUGUACCCCCCUCCCCCUUGACUCUGCACUAUAAUAAAUGACUUGACCCAACAGGUAUAUGAUCCAUAACAUUGCAUCUGAUGGCAGCAAAAACACAUUUGUAGCCUGUCAGUCAUGCCCUUUGCCUCACCCACUGCUCCACUCACACGCACAGGCAAACUGUCGACAUUUUUUUUUGUGCCUCCUGCCUGUCCUUCGACGCUCAUUUAUUCAGAUUUAUUCUGAGCACGUGUUUGACAACGGAGCCUGUCAAGGACCAGCCCUCCGCCCUUACCCUACAAAGCCCCUCCUGCCCUCCUAAUGCUGUUAACCAUUCAUCAACACUUGCAUCAAAUCUCCACCUGUCUAGAGAAUGCCUUCUGCUAAACCUACCUCUCACACACCUUUUCUUCUUUUUUUUGUCUUUAAUGUGUGUAUUUGUGCACCUGCAUUUGUGAAAGUAUUUGUGUAAGUGUGUGAAUGUGGGAAGAUGUGUGUAGGCUGUAGGCUAUAUAAUGUGUAGGCUUUGUAUGUGUGUGUGUGCGUGUGUGUGUGUGCAUGUGUGUGUGUGUGUUAGUGCGUAGGCCAUGUGUAUGUGUCUGUGUGUGUUAUCUAAACUCACCAGCUGUGUCCCAGUUUCUGCACAGAGUGUCUGAC